UUCCACAGCCAUAUCACCCUGCAGUCCAAGACUUACUCACUGACGCUAAGCAGGGUUGAGCCUAGCCAGUACCUGGAUGGGAGACUAGGUUGCUGUUGGAA
rnacentral:rRNA from 1 species